UAACCGAUUAACCGAACCGAACCGAAAAACAUGGUUCGGUUCGGGUUUGGAUAGCUUAAAAUAACCGGCUGGAUAUUAUAUGUCUUAGAUUUCGGUUUCGGUUUCGGUUAGGUUAGUAACCGAUAACCAAAGGAUAACCAAAGCAUAUAUGUAUGAUAGAUAAUAUAUCACAUAUAUUGUAUGUAUUGACACUUAACUAUGUUCUUCUCUUUAUUAGUUUGCAAGUUGAAUUUUGUGAGUUGUGAAUCAGGUGUUUUAAUAUUAUGGAGAGUAUGGACCAUAUUUGCAUCUUUCUGAGUUGUGAAUAUGUCUUUUUUUUACGUACGUUCUAUAUCGGUUAUUGGUCAAUUUUUUUGGUUGUUUCGGUUUUUAGUCGGUUAUUUCGGUUUUGGUUUAUUUAUGGUUACCAAGUUUAAUAUCCGAACCGUUCCUCAAAUAUCCAAAUGGUUCUUAUAUUACUAUAAGUGAAAUAACCGAAAUCAUGCGCAACCGAACCGAAACUGAAUGGUUAACCGAAUGCCCAGGCCUAAUUCAACUUGUUUUUCCUAUUAUUAUGUAGAUUUAGCAUUCCAGUUUUUAAUUUUGAAUUUUUAAAAGUUGUUUUCCAUAUUUUGUUUUUUUUUUUCCGGAUUUUAAAAACCUUUUUUGUGUUUGUUUUUUUUUUUAAAUUUAUUUGCUUGAAUUUUAAAUUUAUAUAAUGAUAGGAAAUCUAACCAAAUUUUGG
rnacentral:sRNA from 1 species